rnacentral:lncRNA from 1 species
UUGAGAGAAUGAUCAACAGUGAUAGGACCAGAAUCACUAGUUGAAAGAACGAUCAACAGUGAUAUGACCACAAUUACUAGUUGAAAGAAUGAUCAACAGUAAUAUGACCCGAGUCACUAGUUGAAAGAAUGAUCAACAGUGAUAUGACCUCCAUUACUAGUUGAGAGAAUGAUCAACAGUAAUAUGACCCGAGUCACUAGUUGAAAGAAUGAUCAACAGUGAUUUGACCACCGUCACAGGAAUCGCCUGGUGACCAAUAUAAUAGUAAGAUAUACUAUAUAUCUAUUACUUGAUAAAUUCACUAUUGGACGAAAGUGAGCCAAUGAGUGAUAUGACCACUGUCACAUCGGAACUGUAAUUUGCUAAUUUGCUGUAAAGAUAAUAGAAGCCAACUAUGGAGCACUGAAGGCUUAAAUAAUGUGGCUAUAAUUACCUGAAUAAAAGAGGAAAUUUAUGUUUUAUUUAAUUGGGUUUAUCCCCAUAAAAACAAUUGAAUGAAAUACGGGUUUUAGCCCAUUUGAUCAAUAUUAAAAGUUUCGGUGUUUUACAAACUCUGAAAAUCAUUUCCUAACUACGAUCCUGAUGAAAAAUUUUCCGCUGCAUAUUUAAUAAACACCGAUACCAUCUGACUGGCUCGCAGCUCCCGCUCCCAGGGUGGGGUCGGGGGCUGUGACAGGAUUAAUGGUGCCUAAGUUAGCGCCUAUUCGCACGUGAUCCAAGGAUUCAUUCCCUAGCUUAACAUACCCUAGUUAACAUGUAUUUUAAAAGAAAAGGGGAACAUAAACCCAUUGGAUUGACUCGUUGUUCGUACGCAGACCAACCCAGUCCCGUUGUUGUAACUAGGAUAUUCUCGUCACUAGUCAUGAAAAUCAUGCAUGUUUCGUAAAUACGCGUGGAUUUUGUAAAACCGGUAUGUUUAGUAUGAUCUUUUUGUAAACCAUUUGAGUUCUUUGAAAGCCAUUCGUAACAUAGUUUAGUAAUAUGAGUUUUCGUUCAUCGAAAAGUUGUUUGCUUUUGCAAAACUUGCAUGUCUUUCCACCCCGAAAACAUUUAUAAAAAUGUAAAACCGUAAAAAAAAGUGGGGGUUAUGAGGAUUUCCAUGUGCAAAGCCAGCUAAAUACAACUUCGUGAUGUCGUUUCCAAGACGUGACUUGCUAGCGUGCAUUCUAUAAUAUCCCUAACACGAAAUUCUCCUAUAUAUUAAAAAAAGGAACGCUUUGAACAGCAGAAGGCUUUUUUGGUAAAUUACAUAACAUAUUUGUGCCCUCAAGCCCUGCCCUACACCCACCGUUGAAAGAGAGAUACGCCAACCAACAAUAUCACAGAACCCCCAAAUGGUUCAAUCACAGAAAGAGAGAAGCGCAUAGAACCGGAAGAAAUCCGGCAAGUGUGAGAGAGGAAGAGUGAUGCAGCAGAGAUCCACAUGUGGAAACGACGGUGAUACCGGGGUUUCCGGUCACUGCAGCGGCGGUCAACAGUGGUGGCUAGGGUUUCGAUUGCGGUUUCAGGAGGGAUCAGCGGAACGCGAUAAGGAUGAAGAUGGCCGGCGAAAUACCUAGGGUUUCGGCUAAGUUCCGGCAGAAGGAUUAAAGCUUGCAUGCUCCAUUUUCAAGUAGAUCGGUGACGGAUUCAUCUGCAUGUGUGCUUCUCCGAUUAUUAAGGUAUAACCCAUCUACCUCACCCUAUCAAUCUCAUCACAACAUCUCUGCCUCUGUCCCCGGCGACGUCUGGCGACCAAAGAUGACUGAGUUUAGCCAUGGGUUUGAUGCUCUUAACUCUUUAGGGUUUUUAGAACUUUGUGGAUGAGAAUAACCUUUGAAACAUUGUGUAAUUUGGUUUUCGUAAAUACCUUUGAUGUGCUUACAAAAAGGAAAGUGGUUCUGUUUCAGUUAGUGUGAUUAUUUUAGAUCACAAAUCAGCAAUAUGGAUCUUACUUUUCGAUGGAUUAAUUUGAUUUGAAGCUAAUUGUGGUGGUCUAUAGUGUUGGAGAACAUCAAAGCGGAAACCUACUGGUGUAUGGUGAAGAGGAGCAGAAUUGAUGGUCUCAAUCUGGACAGUUGGAAUAAGUUUUAAGAGCCUGGAGUUCGGAUAGGAGUGUUCCUGUUUUGGUUGUGGUCCGAAUAAACAAUAUGCUAUUGAAAUAUUGGAAGGCAAAAGGAGUUCAAAUGCAAUUAUCCUUAUAUUAAUAAACCAACGAAAUGAACAGUAAAGUAGAGAGGGUAUUUAAGGGGUUUUUUUAACACAUAAACAAAUCCAGUUAUAACCGCUUACUCCGCCGUUUCAGGUUAGAGAAAGAGAGAGCAUGAGAGAAGGGGUGGAGACGGUGGUACCAUUGCGUCUACUCUGCCAUUGCGCCGAUGUGUAAACCAGCUGUCUCUCAAAAGCGAGGAACUCUCCGGUGAUGAUGGUGACGGUUCGGCGAACCUAAGGUUCUGCCAUGACCUCAUAUGGCGGUGCCGUGGAUGGUGUUCUGAGCAACCAGCACUGAUGGUUAACAGAUUCAACGGAGAUAAAGACGACUGCCAUACGAGUUAGUUCCGACAUAUAUUCCGGUGAGUCUUCGGAAAGCCUCUUUUCUUUUGCAUGUCGUUUUUUAACCAAGAUCGGUGUUUUUGAAGGCGUUUACGCGGCAGAGAGAAGAUGCUACAGUUAGGUCGGGGUCAUAUGGCUCUUAAACUGAUGAUAUUUGUUGAUUCAGUAACCGUAGGUGCUCCGCUGACUGAUUAUAGUCUCUUGCGAGUUCCACACCAGCUAUGUAGCACGGGGACUCCAUUUAUGUGGCCGUACCCGUCUCGGGUACUUGUCGGGGACGGAAACACCAUGGGUACUCGUCGGGGACGUUUCCUAAACGUUUCCAAUGUCGGGGACGUAUCUGGUAGAAGUAUCCAGCCCGUUUCCAUUUAGUUUUAGGGUUUUUACCCUUUCAAAUUCCACAACCGGCCACUAAAUAAAUAGACCUAUCAUAUUCGGCUUCUCUAAUCUCUAAACUCUCAAGUCUCAUCAUCUCUAAUUCUCUAUCGAUUGCCGAUCUCUCACUAGAUGAACCGGAAUUUGAAAAUGAUUUGAUUAUUGAUAAUUAAUUACCUUUGGAAGAUGUAGUAUUUUUGGAAUUUGUUUAAUGUAUUUUUAUUUUUUUAUAUUUUUUAUUGCCGUACCCGUAUCUUGGAAUUUUGAGUUUUGCCAUUCCUCGUUCCCGUAUCGUCCCCGUAUCCCGAUCCCGUACCCGUUCCAGUGCUACUUAGCACACCAGUGUAGAUCGAUAACCACAAAGGGUUGCACCAUGGUGAGUGGCUGGUGACGGGUAAAGGUGGUCCCAGUGAUGAAGUUGUGGUUGUUGACGUUUAUGUGGGUGGUCUGCAAUAAUGAUCACCUGCGACGGAGAUGCCUCCGGAACAAGUAACAAAAUCGAGUGCACCUUAUACAAUUGGGUAUCUUGUAUGUACAUUGCUGCUAACUGACUUUUGGGUAUCUGACAGGUCUUCAUCUACAUACAGCGAAUAGGGAUCAAUCAUCUGUGGAUGAUGGAGGUUCAUCAUCAGUGAAGAUAAACAAGGAAAAAAUAAGCGGAAAACCCCCAGGCUGGAGAAACCCAAGCCCACGAGUUCAAAUCCCCCCCGGCGCACGAACGCUACCUUCCGGUUGGACCGGGCUCGCCCCUGUGCGGGAAACCCACUAGGCCCGGGAUCGAACCCGGGACCUGUGGGUGAAAACCCUCACACCUCAACCGCUGAGACACGACAUCAUUGUUUGAGCUAGAAAAGAGGAACAUAGAGAAUCAAAGGUUAAGAGGGAUGCUUUCACAAGUGACCAACAAUUACACGGUGUUGAAAUUACAUGUGGCUAAUGAAAUGCAAAAGCAACAAAAUCAGAAAGUUGAUCAUCAUCAGGAAAUGGUUGCGAAACAACUUAUCGAGUUAGGUCCGACUUCUCAUGAUUCUUCAUCGGAAGAAAGAACUCAAUCGGGCUCGACUUAGAAUGGUGAUCAUAAAGCUGGUAAAAGAAACGGUCGGGAGAACACCUCGGAUUUGGAUGCUUGGAUUGCUAACAAGGUACCAAAGUUGAAUGGUUCAAAGAUCGUCGAGCAACCAAAUGAAUCUAGCAUGCGUAAAGCUCAAGUCUCGGUCCGGGCUCGGUUAGAAGCACCCAUGGUAAUUUAGUUAUUAUAAUUUUUGUAUGUUACAAUACAAUAAUUUUGGCUAAAUGCUAAAAAGUUUCCUUGUAUUUUUACUACAGAUUUGAUCAUGUUAUGAGUUGUGAUGUAAAAUAUACACACCAAGAAUGAUUUGGUUAAGCGCGCCGCAACGCGGCGCUGCGCAUAAAACU